rnacentral:rRNA from 1 species
UACGGGGGAGCAAGCGUUGUUCGGAUUUACUGGGCGUAAAGGGCGCGUAGGCGGUCGUGACAAGUCACUUGUGAAAUCUCCGGGCUUAACUCGGAACGGUCAAGUGAUACUGUCGGACUAGAGUACAGAAGGGGCAACUGGAAUUCUCGGUGUAGCGGUGAAAUGCGUAGAGAUCAGGAAGAACAUCGGUGGCGAAGGCGGCUCUGGCUGGACCAUAACUGACACUCAGGGACGAAAGCGUAGGGGAGCGAAUGGG